rnacentral:lncRNA from 1 species
AGGAGGAGAGGUCACCACAAUGAACAGAAGUGCUUAUCGGCGACGACUCACUUCGGCGGAUUGUCGAGAAUUGGAUUGAAUAUCUUUUAGAAAUUCGGCUUAGGAAUUGCGAUUUGAGGGUACGUAGAAACGCGCACAGUAAACCUAAAAUGUUCUUCAGAAAUAGUUUUUUUUUUAUUAGAAAUAGUUUUUUUUCUUUGUAAGCAAACCCGUCUCAAUUUUAAAAUGUGCCAUGUGCUAUAAUAUAAUUUUUUUUGAUAAUCCAGGGUUCCCCGCUUCGCGGGUCAUUCCCUGGGCCCGGUCAGGCAGCGGGCCAGCUUCACCCGGGAGGUUUUUC